rnacentral:rRNA from 1 species
GAUUCUGGCUCAGGAUGAACGCUAGCUACAGGCUUAACACAUGCAAGUCGAGGGCAGCAUGAAGUUGCCUGCAAACUUGAUGGCGACCGGCGCACGGGUGAGUAACGCGUAUCCAACCUGCCCAUUACCCGGGGAUAGCCCGCCGAAAGGCGAAUUAAUACCCGAUGUGGUCCCAUGACGGCAUCAGAGUGGGACCAAAGGCUUGCCGGUAACGGAUGGGGAUGCGUCCGAUUAGGUUGUUGGCGGGGUAACGCCCACCAAGCCUGCGAUCGGUAGGGGUUCUGAGAGGAAGGUCCCCCACACUGGAACUGAGACACGGCCCAGACUCCUACGGGAGGCAGCAGUGAGGAAUAUUGGUCAAUGGUCGGAAGACUGAACCAGCCAAGUAGCGUGCAAGGGAUGACGGCCCUAUGGGUUGUAAACUGCUUUUAUGCGGGAAUAAAGUGAGGGACGUGUUCCUUUUUGCAUGUACCGCAUGAAUAAGGACCGGCUAAUUCCGUGCCAGCAGCAGC